rnacentral:rRNA from 1 species
GACGAACGCUGGCGGCGUGCUUAACACAUGCAAGUCGAACGGUGAAGGGACCGGUUUUUGCUGGUUCUGGAUGAGUGGCGAACGGGUGAGUAACACGUGAGUAACCUGCCCCCUUCUUCUGGAUAACCGCAUGAAAGUGUGGCUAAUACGGGAUAUUCUGCGCCUGCUGCAUGGUGGGUGUGGGAAAGAUAUUGUUUCGGUGGGGGAUGGGCUCGCGGCCUAUCAGCUUGUUGGUGGGGUGAUGGCCUACCAAGGCGGUGACGGGUAGCCGGCCUGAGAGGGUGGACGGUCACACUGGGACUGAGACACGGCCCAGACUCCUAUGGGAGGCAGCAGUGGGGAAUAUUGCACAAUGGGCGCAAGCCUGAUGCAGCGACGCCGCGUGAGGGAUGGAGGCCUUCGGGUUGUAAACCUCUUUCGCCAGUGAAGCAGGCCUGUCCCUUUUGUGGGUGGGUUGACGGUAGCUGGAUAAGAAGCGCCGGCUAACUACGUG